CCUGGUUUCAAAAAAAGCUAAAUGGUAAUAGAGUAAACGAUUAAAAGUUUAUUAACUCCAUCUUUAUAAUCUACUCUUCUAGAUUUUUCUUCUGAAGACUUUACAGCAUUAUCUGGUCUCCUGGGUCCUUCUCAUUUCUCACUCUGGACUUCAAAGCUGCAGGAAUUCUUUGGAUCUGCAAAAGUGGGCAAGAUUUGAGUGGGUUGUUCGGCUGUUGUAGCUAUUCCACUGUCUCCUGCUUAAUCCCUUCUAACUGACUAAGUUUAUCUUUGUUAACUUCAGACUUCUGGAGCAAGGGGUCACCUCCAUCACACUGGAGUUGAUUCUCAGGGAGCUGGUGACAAACUGCCCUGUGGCUGCUGGGGCUGGUGACAGUGCAGCCCUGCACGAUGCUUCUGUGCCCACAUGAGCACAGUUUGAAGUUCCUCAGCAGGCAACCCUUGAGCUGUGGCAGCCAGGAGGGUGUUUUAAGGCAGCCGUCCCCAAACUAUUUGCCACCAGGGACCGGUUGCAUAGAAGACAAUUUUUCCAAAGACCAGGGUAGGGGGGUGGUUUGGGGAUGAAACUGUUCCACAUCAGAUCAUCAGGCAUUAGAUUCUCAUAAGGAGCACACAACCUAGAUCCCUUACAUGCAUAGUUCACAAUAGGAUCGGCUCCUAUGAGAAUCCGAUGCUGCUGCUGAUCUGACAGGAGGUGGAGCUCAGGCAGUAAUGCUUGCUCGCCAGCCACUCACCUCCUGCUGUGCGGCCUGGUUCCUAACAGGCCACAGACCAGUACCAGUCCAGGGGUUGGGGAUCCCUGUUUUAAGGUGUAUAUGGGGAGUAUUAUUGAGUCCAGGUUUCUGCUACCUUGGGAUACAUUUUUAUCUCAUAUUCCAAUUAGAAAUGUUUUUCCACAUCAAAUAAAGCAGAAUUAACACAUUAUAUUGGCACAGUACACACACCCUCUAAAGAGCAUAUCGCAUCCUAGAGCAAGCAGACAGGGGCAGGGCACCAAGGGCACACACAGGUGGCAGGCAGUGGGAACAUGCAGGCGGACGCUGCAGCAGCUUUGGUGUGAAGACUGCAUGGUCUGUGAACAAGGUCACCAAGUGGAGAAGAAUAAUGAUCAUCCUGGCCUCUCAGAACAGCGUGGCACCUGCAGAACGGGAGUGGCCACACCCGGACGCAGGCAGAAGACAAAUCCAGAGCACAGCAGAGCAAACAAGCUCAUCCUCAGCCACACCCAUCAGAGGGUUUUCACCAACUCCCAAUGCUCAGGAAAUCAAUAUCAUAAUCACCUACAUCAGAAGUACAGGUCACAUAGGUGCAUGAAAUGCACAUGCGUGAUAUAAAUUAUUCUUCAAUUAAUUGCAGUAAACUGCAAUUCUUGUUUAAUAGCGGUGCUUUCAGUCAUUCUUAUCAGAUCUUUUUUACUGUCUUUCUAAAGUCCCAGAUUGCAGACUUUUGUAGUAUUGUUAGAAGGAAACGUGUGGGCUAGGCAGAGACUUUCCAAAUACUGCUGUCAAGAUGCAGAUGGCCAGAGUGGCAAGGCCCAGCCAUCC
rnacentral:lncRNA from 10 species